AGAGUUUUAUCCUGGCUCAGGAUGAACGCUAGCGACAGGCUUAACACAUGCAAGUCGAGGGGCAGCGGGGAGGUAGCAAUACCUCCGCCGGCGACCGGCGCACGGGUGAGUAACACGUAUGAAACCUACCCGCAGCAGGGGGGAUAAGCGGAAGAAAUUCCGUCUAAUACCGCGUAACAAUCUCCGGAGGCAUCUCCGGGGAUUCAAAGGAGCGAUCCGGCUGCGGAUGGUCAUGCGGCGCAUUAGCUAGUUGGCGGGGUAACGGCCCACCAAGGCGACGAUGCGUAGGGGUUCUGAGAGGAAGGUCCCCCACACUGGUACUGAGACACGGACCAGACUCCUACGGGAGGCAGCAGUGAGGAAUAUUGGUCAAUGGCCGAGAGGCUGAACCAGCCAAGUCGCGUGAGGGAGGACGGCCCUACGGGUUGUAAACCUCUUUUGUCGGGGAGCAAAGAGCGGGAUGCGUCCCGCCUCGAGAGUACCCGAAGAAAAAGCAUCGGCUAACUCCGUGCCAGCAGCCGCGGUAAUACGGAGGAUGCGAGCGUUAUCCGGAUUUAUUGGGUUUAAAGGGUGCGCAGGCGGAAGAUCAAGUCAGCGGUAAAAUUGAGGAGGCUCAACCUCUUUCCACCCGUUAAAACUGGUUUUUUUGAGGGGGGGAGAAAGUACGCGGAAUGCGUGGGGUAGGGGGUGAAAAUGCAUAGAUAUCACGCAGAACUCCGAUGGCGAGGGCAGCGUACCGGCGCCCAACUGACGCUCAUGCACGAAAGGGUGGGUAUCGAACAGGAUUAGAUACCCUGGUAGUCCACGCAGUAAACGAUGAAUACUCGCUGUCCGGAGGGAUUGACCUCUGGGCGGCUUAGCGAAAGCGUUAAGUAUUCCACCUGGGGAGUACGCCGGCAACGGUGAAACUCAAAGGAAUUGACGGGGGCCCGCACAAGCGGAGGAACAUGUGGUUUAAUUCGAUGAUACGCGAGGAACCUUACCCGGGCUCAAACGACACAGGAAUACUUUUGAAAGGAGGUAGCUCUACGGAGUCUGUGUCGAGGUGCUGCAUGGUUGUCGUCAGCUCGUGCCGUGAGGUGUCGGCUUAAGUGCCAUAACGAGCGCAACCCCCAUCGUCAGUUGCCAUCGGGUGAUGCCGGGCACUCUGACGAGACUGCCGGCGCAAGCUGUGAGGAAGGCGGGGAUGACGUCAAAUCAGCACGGCCCUUACGUCCGGGGCGACACACGUGUUACAAUGGCAGGUACAGAGAGAAGCGACACGGCGACGUGAAGCGGAACUGUCAAAACCUGUCUCAGUUCGGAUCGGAGUCUGCAACCCGACUCCGUGAAGCUGGAUUCGCUAGUAAUCGCGCAUCAGCCAUGGCGCGGUGAAUACGUUCCCGGGCCUUGCACUCACCGCCCGUCA
rnacentral:rRNA from 1 species